ensembl:rRNA 5S_rRNA 5S ribosomal RNA
GUCUACAGCCAUAUUACCCUGAACACCUGAUCUUGUCUGAUCUCGGAAGCUAAGCAGGGUCGGGCCUGGUUAGUACUUGGAUGGGAGAAAUUCAAAAUGGUUAUUUUAAAGC